GACGAACGCUGGCGGCGUGCUUAACACAUGCAAGUCGAACGAAGAGCGAUGGAAGCUUGCUUCUAUCAAUCUUAGUGGCGCACGGGUGAGUAACGCGUAAUCAACCUGCCCUUCAGAGGGGGACAACAGUUGGAAACGACUGCUAAUACCGCAUACGAUCUAAUCUCGGCAUCGAGGAUAGAUGAAAGGUGGCCUCUACAUGUAAGCUAUCACUGAAGGAGGGGAUUGCGUCUGAUUAGCUAGUUGGAGGGGUAACGGCCCACCAAGGCGAUGAUCAGUAGCCGGUCUGAGAGGAUGAACGGCCACAUUGGGACUGAGACACGGCCCAGACUCCUACGGGAGGCAGCAGUGGGGAAUCUUCCGCAAUGGACGAAAGUCUGACGGAGCAACGCCGCGUGAGUGAUGACGGCCUUCGGGUUGUAAAGCUCGGUUAAUCGGGACGAAAGGCCUUCUUGCGAAUAGGGAGAAGGAUUGACGGUACCGGAAUAGAAAGCCACGGCUAACUACGUG
rnacentral:rRNA from 1 species